UACGGAGGGUGCAAGCGUUAUCCGGAUUCACUGGGUUUAAAGGGUGCGUAGGUGGGUCUGUAAGUCAGUGGUGAAAUCUUCAAGCUUAACUUGGAAACUGCCAUGGAUACUAUUUGUCUUGAAUGUUGUGGAGGUAAGCGGAAUAUGUCAUGUAGCGGUGAAAUGCUUAGAUAUGACAUAGAACACCAAUUGCGAAGGCAGCUUACUACACAAAUAUUGACGCUGAGGCACGAAAGCGUGGGGAUCAAACAGG
rnacentral:rRNA from 1 species